AGGACCUCCAGCGUCACCGGCAUCCCAAUAGGAAACCAUUGAAUAAUGCUUUCCUAUGGGGAGGUGUAAUGCACACACAUAGUCGAUGAUGACCCAAAAGCUCUUUCAAUGGGGACAUGAGUGUCAGAAAUUGGCCAUGGAGCAUUAGAAGAAGGAUGGCUGAUCUAAUGAUUUACAAAUUCUUUUAGAUCAGAUGGAUAUCCAAGAAUGUAUUUGUCAUUUACUUGGGGAAGAGAUGGCAGCAGAAUGCACCAUGAGAAGAACGCAGGCCAGCGGAGGUAGUGUUAUGAUCUGGGCAAUGUUCUGUUGGUUAAUUUUGG